GGAUCGGUAGUUUAGUAUGGUUAGAAUGCCGGCUUGUCACGCCGGAGAUCACGGGUUCAAAUCCCGUCCGGUCCG
rnacentral:tRNA from 1 species